rnacentral:rRNA from 1 species
CCUUCGAAGGGUGAGUAACACGUGGGCAAUCUGCCCUUCACUCCGGGACAAGCCCUGGAAACGGGGUCUAAUACCGGAUAACACUUCUUCGGGCAUCCGAAGAGGUUGAAAGCUCCGGCGGUGAAGGAUGAGCCCGCGGCCUAUCAGCUUGUUGGUGGGGUAAUGGCCCACCAAGGCGACGACGGGUAGCCGGCCUGAGAGGGCGACCGGCCACACUGGGACUGAGACACGGCCCAGACUCCUACGGGAGGCAGCAGUGGGGAAUAUUGCACAAUGGGCGAAAGCCUGAUGCAGCGACGCCGCGUGAGGGAUGACGGCCUUCGGGUUGUAAACCUCUUUCAGCAGGGAAGAAGCGCAAGUGACGGUACCUGCAGAAGAAGCGCCGGCUAACUACGUGCCAGCAGCCGCGGUAAUACGUAGGGCGCAAGCGUUGUCCGGAAUUAUUGGGCGUAAAGAGCUCGUAGGCGGCCUGUCGCGUCGGAUGUGAAAGCCCGGGGCUUAACCCCGGGUCUGCAUUCGAUACGGGCAGGCUAGAGUGUGGUAGGGGAGAUCGGAAUUCCUGGUGUAGCGGUGAAAUGCGCAGAUAUCAGGAGGAACACCGGUGGCGAAGGCGGAUCUCUGGGCCAUUACUGACGCUGAG